rnacentral:rRNA from 1 species
GACGAACGCUGGCGGCGUGCUUAACACAUGCAAGUCGAACGGUGAAGCUCCAGCUUGCUGGAGUGGAUCAGUGGCGAACGGGUGAGUAACACGUGAGCAACCUGCCCCUGACUCUGGAAUAAGCUCUGGAAACGGCGUCUAAUACUGGAUACGAGAAGGGUCCGCAUGGGCACUUUCUGGAAAGUUUUUCGGUUGGGGAUGGGCUCGCGGCCUAUCAGCUUGUUGGUGAGGUAAUGGCUCACCAAGGCGACGACGGGUAGCCGGCCUGAGAGGGCGACCGGCCACACUGGGACUGAGACACGGCCCAGACUCCUACGGGAGGCAGCAGUGGGGAAUAUUGCACAAUGGGCGAAAGCCUGAUGCAGCGACGCCGCGUGAGGGAUGACGGCCUUCGGGUUGUAAACCUCUUUCAGCAGGGAAGAAGCGAAAGUGACGGUACCUGCAGAAGAAGCACCGGCUAACUACGUG